GGAGAAAAUGCCUGAAAAAUUCUAAUAGUAUUCUGGGAGAUGCCUUUACAUGUCAACACAGUAGAGGAAAAAUCAACGGUGACGAGAGAAGAAGAGCUUGGGUCCAGAGUUGUUCUUAUCUUCCUUACAUGAGAAUGCUGAGGUUGGUGACUGACUCAAAGAGAGACAGCCCGUGCAACUAAAUCCUGCUAGAUCCUGCCUCUUGGAUAUGAAGUUUAUGCUAAUUCCUCUGCUCAAUACGGCAUCUUAAACAAUUCAUGCUGACAUUGACUUAUUUCGCAUUAUUAUCCUGCUUAACAUAUGCAUUUAUUAUGUAUAUAUUCCCUAUAAUAUGACAUUGGUAUUACUUG
rnacentral:lncRNA from 1 species